GACGGAGGAUCGCAAGCGUUAUCCGGAAUGAUUGGGCGUAAAGCGUCCGCAGGUGGCAGUUCCAAGUCUGCUGUCAAAGACCGGGGCUUAACUUCGGAAAGGCAGUGGAAACUGAACAGCUAGAGUAUGGUAGGGGCAGAGGGAAUUCCUGGUGUAGCGGUGAAAUGCGUGAGAGAUCAGGAAGAACAUCGGUGGCGAAGGCGCUCUGCUGGACCAUAACUGACAGCUC
rnacentral:rRNA from 1 species